rnacentral:rRNA from 1 species
UACGUAGGGGGCAAGCGUUGUCCGGAUUUAUUGGGCGUAAAGAGCGUGUAGGCGGCCACACAGGUCUGCUGUGAAAACUCGAGGCUCAACCUCGAGCUGUCGGUGGAAACCGUGUGGCUAGAGUCCGGAAGAGGAGAGUGGAAUUCCCGGUGUAGCGGUGAAAUGCGUAGAGAUCGGAAAGAACACCAACGGCGAAAGCACUCUGCUGGGCCGACACUGACACUGAGAGACGAAAGCUAGGGGAGCGAAUGGG